rnacentral:tRNA from 1 species
GCAGGUAUAGUUCAAUGGUAGAACUUCAGCCUUCCAAGCUGACCAUGCGAGUCCGAUUCUCGUUACCUGCUCCA